GAUGAACGCUGACAGAAUGCUUAACACAUGCAAGUCAACUUGAACUUCGGUUUGGGUGGCGGACGGGUGAGUAACGCGUAAAGAACUUGCCUCACAGCUAGGGACAACAUUUGGAAACGAAUGCUAAUACCUGAUAUUAUGAUUUUAGGGCAUCCUAGAAUUAUGAAAGCUAUAUGCGCUGUGAGAGAGCUUUGCGUCCCAUUAGCUAGUUGGCGAGGUAACGGCUCACCAAGGCGAUGAUGGGUAGCCGGCCUGAGAGGGUGAACGGCCACAAGGGGACUGAGACACGGCCCUUACUCCUACGGGAGGCAGCAGUGGGGAAUAUUGGACAAUGGACCAAGAGUCUGAUCCAGCAAUUCUGUGUGCACGAUGAAGUUUUUCGGAAUGUAAAGUGCUUUCAGUUGGGAAGAAAAAAAUGACGGUACCAACAGAAGAAGUGACGGCUAAAUACGUG
rnacentral:rRNA from 1 species